AGAUUGAACGCUGGCGGCAUGCCUUACACAUGCAAGUCGAACGGCAGCACGGGGGCAACCCUGGUGGCGAGUGGCGAACGGGUGAGUAACAUAUCGGAACGUGCCCUGGAGUGGGGGAUAACUAGUCGAAAGAUUAGCUAAUACCGCAUACGAUCUACGGAUGAAAGUGGGGGAUCGCAAGACCUCAUGCUCGUGGAGCGGCCGAUAUCUGAUUAGCUAGUUGGUGGGGUAAAGGCCUACCAAGGCAUCGAUCAGUAGCUGGUCUGAGAGGACGACCAGCCACACUGGGACUGAGACACGGCCCAGACCU
rnacentral:rRNA from 1 species